rnacentral:rRNA from 1 species
CAGUAGCCACGGUAAAACGUAGGGUGCAAGCGUUAAUCGGAAUUACUGGGCGUAAAGCGUGCGCAGGCGGUUCUAUAAGACAGAUGUGAAAUCCCCGGGCUCAACCUGGGAACUGCAUUUGUGACUGUAGAGCUGGAGUGCGGCAGAGGGGGAUGGAAUUCCGCGUGUAGCAGUGAAAUGCGUAGAUAUGCGGAGGAACACCGUUGGCGAAGGCAAUCCCCUGGGCCUGCACUGACGCUCAUGCACGAAAGCGUGGGGAGCAAACAGGAUUAGAUACCCCUGUAGUCCCUGUCUCUUAUAC